rnacentral:rRNA from 1 species
UACAGAGGUCCCAAGCGUUGUUCGGAUUCACUGGGCGUAAAGGGUGCGUAGGCGGUUGGGUAAGUCUGGUGUGAAAUCCCUGAGCUUAACUCAGGAACUGCACUGGAUACUAUCCAGCUAGAGGUGUGGAGGGGGGACUGGAAUUCUCGGUGUAGCAGUGAAAUGCGUAGAGAUCGAGAGGAACACCAGUGGCGAAGGCGAGUCCCUGGACACCACCUGACGCUGAGGCACGAAAGCUAGGGGAGCAAACAGG